GACUUGCUCACUUCAGUUUGAGUGGUUGAGCAACAACAGUAAGGGCACUGUAAUUUAACGGUUUUAUACCAUAUUUUUUUCUGUGUACACAAGACGCCAUUUUGGAUUAUCUACAUGAGAUUUGAACUGCGUGCCUCUGUUUGAAACUCCAAGGUACUUACAAGAAAGGAUAAUUGGAUAAUUUGGAUAUUUUCGACGAGGAUCCGACCGUGUGAAUGUCUUGAGAAGAGAAAGGGGGUAACUUUAGCCUAAUUUAGCAAGCUAACGAUAGCUGGAGGACUCAUUUUCACAUCACACACAGGUAAGAAUGUUAAACCUAGAUUUUACAUGAACUUUGAGUGAAGA